rnacentral:tRNA from 1 species
GGGCCGGUAGCUCAGCCUGGUAGAGCACUUGACUUUUAAUCAAGUGGUCGCGAGUUCGAAUAAACCGGAAGAGGUUAAGAAAGUCUCGUCCGGCCCA